rnacentral:rRNA from 1 species
AGAGUUUGAUUCUGGCUCAGGAUGAACGCUGGCGGCGUGCUUAACACAUGCAAGUCGAACGAAGCAACUAUCUUGCUUGCAAGAGAGUUGACUUAGUGGCGGACGGGUGAGUAACGCGUGGGUAACCUGCCUCAUACAGGGGGAUAACAGUUGGAAACGACUGCUAAGACCGCAUAACCCGCUAGUGUCGCAUGACACGGACGGAAAAUAUUUAUAGGUAUGAGAUGGGCCCGCGUCUGAUUAGCUAGUUGGUAAGGUAACGGCUUACCAAGGCGACGAUCAGUAGCCGACUUGAGAGAGUGAUCGGCCACAUUGGGACUGAGACACGGCCCAAACUCCUACGGGAGGCAGCAGUGGGGAAUAUUGGACAAUGGGGGAAACCCUGAUCCAGCCGACGCCGCGUGAGUGAAGAAGUAUUUCGGUAUGUAAAGCUCUAUCAGCAGGGAAGAUAAUGACAGUACCUGACUAAGAAGCCCCGGCUAACUACGUGCCAGCCGCCGC